ACGGCUGUGGUGCAAUUGGAAGCACAGCUGACUCCAAAUCAGCUAGGUCAGGGUUCGAGUCCUUGCGGUCGUGCCA
rnacentral:tRNA from 1 species